GAAGUUCAGGAGGAAAGAGACAAACUGGUGUUUUUGGACAGUUACUCCACAUUCAGUAAACGGCAAGCUGUCGCGCUCCUGUUGACCAGAAGAACAACAUUUACUAGAGAGGUGGGCUGCGGAAGAAACUUUACUGACGCACUCGCGCAGGAGUCAGAAGGCUUAGCUCGGCCUAACAGUGGAAUGAUCUCCAGCACAGACAAGGCUCAGUCAUCCCUCAGCACGCAGAGAGGGGCAGAGAAAAGACGUUAAGGCAGCCGACUGACUGAACACUGUCUGCCUUCAGGAUGAGUCAUCGUAGCUGCUCUGUGAGGCUUUUCCAGUUCAAGAAAACAGUUUACCUCGUCCCUGCAAAUUCUAUUAUUCCCUUUAUGUGUGAUUAUGAGGCUCCCAUUAGCUUUUACUAGAAUAAACCCAACAGGAUCUAAAAAAAACAAAAACA